AAAAAGGACAAAUUAUUGUUUCUGUGUCAACGUUUGACCGUCCGUCUUAUUUAAAAAAAAUUAUGAAAAAAUUAAAAAGAUAAGUCACGCAUAAAGUAUUAAUCAUGUUUUAUCAUCUAACAACAAUGCAAAUACUAAUUAUAAAAAAAUUUCAUAUAAAACGGACAGUCAAACGUUGGCAUGGGAACCUACAGUUUAUCUUUUU
rfam:Oryza barthii chromosome 10, whole genome shotgun sequence.